rnacentral:rRNA from 1 species
GACGAACGCUGGCGGCGUGCCUAAUACAUGCAAGUAGAACGCAGUUGCGAACGGGCGAGUAACGCGUAGGUAACUGCCUGGUAGCGGGGGAUAACUAUCGGCAACGAUAGCUAAUACCGCAUACUACCAGAUGGAUCUGCGUUGUAUUAGUUAGUUGGUGGGGUAACGGCUCACCAAGGCAACGAUACAUAGCCGACCUGAGAGGGGGAUCGGCAAAACGGGGACUGAGACACGGCCCAGAAUCCUACGGGAGGCAGCAGUAGGGAAUCUGCGGCAAUGGACGGAAGUCUGACCGAGCAACGCCGCGUGAGUGAAGAGGGUUUUCGGGUCGUAAAGCUCUGUUGUAAGAGAAGCGGUAUCUGACCAGAAAGGGACGGCUAACUACGUGCCAGCAGCCGCGGUAAUUC